GAUGAACGCUGGCGGCGUGCCUAAUACAUGCAAGUCGAGCGAACGGACGAGAAGCUUGCUUCUCUGAUGUUAGCGGCGGACGGGUGAGUAACACGUGGAUACCCUACCUAUAAGACUGGGAUAACUUCGGGAAACCGGAUCUAAUACCGGAUGAUAUUUUGAACCGCAUGGUUCAAAAGUGAAAGACGGUCUUGCUGUCACUUAUAGAUGGAUCCGCGCUGCAUUAGCUAGUUGGUAAGGUAACGGCUUACCAAGGCAACGAUGCAUGGCCGACCUGAGAGGGUGAUCGGCCACACUGGAACUGAGACACGGUCCAGACUCCUACGGGAGGCAGCAGUAGGGAAUCUUCCGCAAUGGGCGAAAGCCUGACGGAGCAACGCCGCGUGAGUGAUGAAGGUCUUCGGAUCGUAAAGCUCUGUUAUUAGGGAAGAACAUAUGUGUAAGUAACUGUGGACAUCUUGACGGUACCUAAUCAAAAAGCAACGGCUAACUACGUG
rnacentral:rRNA from 1 species